UAUAUAUAUAUAUUUAUAUCAUAUACAAACAUAUUUAUAUAUGUUUAACGGUGGUGGUGCUCAUCUUACGAAUAUAUACUUUCCUUGCAUUUUUCUAUGAUAUAUAAAUACGAGGCGUACGCGCUUGCACACAUUCCAUUACAUUUUUUUGUUUGUUUUUUUUUAAACUAACCCAUGUGUACAUAACUUGCUUCUUUGUUCGUAACGCAUAUAAACAUCAAGUAUUUGAUUAACCCGAUUUAAAAUGCAUAUUUUACAUGUGCGCAUGUACGAUGUGUAUGUACAUAAGAAUACAUAUAUCGUAUAUUUAUCUUUGUGUGUUUAUAUGCAUAUAUAUAUUAUAUAUAUAUAAGAGCGUGUUCAUAUAUACAUAUAAAUACAUAUUGGGAUACAUACGCGUGUAUGUUUACAUGUAUAUAUACACGUACAUAUACACAUACAUACAUAUAUACGUAACAUAUAAACAUACAUCUAUUACACAAUGUUUUCCACUCGAUAUAUGUACUAUUAUCAUAUAUCUAUAUUGCGUAUGGGAACAUAUUUGUAUACAAUUGUUAAUACUGCUCAUAGUGUUGUAUUUUAAAUGGCAUUCGAAUUUCGUUCUACCUAUGCCAUAUGAUUUCACGAUUUUGUACGUUAUUUGCUACCGUUUUUACUUUCCAAGUGUUUAGGCUGUUUUCGAAGAGAUUUAAAUAAAAAUUAUAAAGAAGAUACGAAGUGACGAAAUGCGAGAAAGUUGGUUGAUCGCGGUCGAGCGAUUUCUCGAUCACGAUGUGACAAACGCUCGUUCGAGUUUUAAUCAUGUGAUUAUACCAAAGAAGAAAAAGAAGAAAAAGAAAGAAAAAGAAAAUCGAUCGAUGUACUUAUUUGUACACCGGUCGGCUUAUACGUGGAAUUUCGUAUUUUCGUAUGCUUUUUUGCUACGAAAAUCCUUUGUUUUUUUAAUAUUUUAAUUGGGAUAUUUGCAUUUUUAUAUUUUAUUGUUAUUUUUUCCCUUAUUCUAAUAAGCAAUAUUUUCUAUAUUUGGCUUGUUAGUCACGGGAAUAUGCAUGAAUUCGGCAUUGAAUUUUAUGGCAAAUUUUUUUGGAUCAACACGAGUCGAUAUUAUUUGAUCGAUUCGUAAGUUGACCAUAUUUUGCCAUAUCGUGUAUGUGAGUGCCUAUAUUUUUGGAAAUGAAUAUAACAGAAAAGAAGAAAGAACAUGCUGAAGAAAAAUCUGAAUCUACCAUGUGAUGUGGUAAAUAUGGUAAAUUAUAAUACAGCUAUUACAGCGAUAUAAGAGGUAGUAUUUCAUUCAUUUCACUGCGCAUUUAUGUACUUAUUAGAUUUGCUGCAUUUUUUGCAUUUUUUGCAUUUUAUGGUUAUAUAUCAUUUACAUAUAUAUAUAUAUAUAUAUUAUAUAUAUAUAUAACAUUUUAUAUUGCUAUACAUUUUACUUGCGUAUAAUUUCAAUUUAUAUACGUACAUGAUUUUUAUAAUAUCUGAUCUUUCAUCAUUUUAUUUUGUUAUUGUAAAUAUGGGUCACAUUUAUUAUCGGAUUACCUGAUCAAUAUAAUUUUAGGUAAGGAAAUUAGAUUGUUCAAUAAUUCAAUAGCAAUGCUGUGAUCCUAUUUGCAAUACCGUAUGUUGUUCAACCAUAUAUCGUAUCGUAAUACGAGUUUACAUUGUCUUUUGUAAAAAAAAAAAAUUAUACAUUAAAACGGUCUGUAGCAAUAUUUUCGCUAUUCACGAUCGUUUUUCCGAUCAUAUAUCAUUUCGACAUGUGUAAUGAUUUAAUUUAUUUUUCAAAUGAUCUUCACGUUUUUUUUUUAAUAUUUCAUGAUGCAUUGAAUAAUCUUGCUCAACGAUUUAACAAUAAUAGAUCUUUUUUUAGAUUUUCUUCUACACAAUGAUAAAUGAAAUUAGCGAGAAAUCGCGUUUCUCAUCUUUUGUAAUUCUAACAAUAAUAAAUUGCGUGUAGCUUUUUCGAGCAGUUAUCACGAUGAUUGCUCGGAUUUUUUAUUUUAAACUUUUAUCUGCAAUAUAUACGUGCAUCAAUAUAUUGUGUUGUUACAUCAACGAGAAGAGAUAAGAACCGAUGUUUUCCAGUGAUCCGGAUAAAAGAAGAAUUUCGUUGUUUGUUUCUAUUUUCGAAAAUUUUCCAUUUUGAAAGUUUUUGGAAGUAGAAACGACUAAUUACAGUUUACUUUUUUUUUCUUUUUUUUUUUUUUACAAAUUUCGAAAAUUCUAUUCUCCUUUUUUCUUCAUUUUGUUUUUAAUCAAGUAAGUUAUCUUUAUACGUAUAUUUAUUUUUAAGGAACAGAUAACAAUUUCGAUCAUUCAAAGAUAUCCAAUUUGAUAUCUUUUUACGAACGAAUAUAACAGCAAAUUAUGCUCGUGUUUUUUCUUAGUGUUUGUACGAUUAAAUGUCAGUGUUGAAAUCUAUAAGAAGAUUCUUCUUAGAACUUCAUUAUGGAACAAUCAGGUAAAAGGUGGUAUGACUCGAUAAUUUUUUUCCUUUUCAAUAUUAAAGUAAGUUCUAACUGCAGUUAGAUUUACAUUUAUAAUAUUUAUAUUGUAUACGACGUAUAUUGUUUCGUUUUUUGCCUAUACAUAUAUACAUACAUACAUAUAUAUAUAUAUAUAUUUCACAUGUUUUUCUUCUAUAUACAUUUUAUUACUUUUUGCAGCCAAGCUUUUAUGUGAUUUUUUUAUCGCUCAAAUUAUCUAAAUGUUUUAUUCUUAUAAUUGUUAGUAUUCUAAGAUAAUUUAUUUAUGUCUAUUAUUGUUUUAUAUGAUAUGACAAUUUUAUAUGUGUAUAUUAUUUACAAUAUCAAUAAUCGUUGACUUUUUAUAUAUUUUUAUACAUCGAUUAUAUAUCGUAAUUUACAUUCAAUUUCAGCAUCAUAAAAUUUGAAACGAAUUUUUUUAUAAUUAUCGAAUGUUGAAUAUUAUGUAUUUAUUUUUUUUGUAAGAAAAAAUUUAAGUGUUUUUUGACGCAAACGUACAUGUUUUUUACGUACGUUUAUAUAUGGUAUAACCUAAGUUCAAAUGUCACCACAAACUUUUUGUCGUGACAAUAAUUGUUUUUACAUUGCGCAUCCACUUCGAUGCUGCAUUGAUAUUUACGAUAUUUAUGCAUAAUGUUUAUAAAAUUUGUGAAACUUCUUCUGUUUUCAUCUGUUUAAUAUGUCGUUCGCCAAUUGUUCGAAAGUGAAGCCAAAAAACGCUCGGUUUUUUUUCAAAAUUCCAAGAAAAUUGGAGUUUUCGAGAUUCUGUGCCAAGUGAACGAAAAUUUUACGACUGUGAAGAAUGUUUAUAAAGAGUGUUCGUGAUAUGUUUUGGAGGCAAUCGGUUAAAUAUAAAAAAAAAAGGGUUAAGUAUUUUAUCUUGCGUGUUGUAUCGUCACGCAAGGUAUUACAUAUUUUUAUAUACUUUAAUAAUAAUUAUAAUAAUAAUAAUAAUAAUUUUUCGUAGAAAUGAUUGUUCGUAUAAAUUUGAUUCUUACAGUUAAUUCUUCUCUAAUUUUAUGUGAACAAGGGAACAAGAAUUAAUAAUAAUAUUUCGAACAAUCAUUUUUAUCAUAAUUCAAUAAUGUUUAAAAUUUUUAGUAGACGUUAUUUUGUCAAUGUUAUAUAUGAAUUUUUAUCGUCUUUCUUUUUACGAUAUUGUUCCGAGGUUUUAUACCCGAUCUCUAUGUCUCUUCGCUCGAAAUAUCAAGUCGUUUAUCUUUUUCAGUUUUCUAGGAUAUAGUUUUCAUUUUAAUUUGUCUUCUUUUUUUUCUUUAUUUUUAACCCAAUGGAUCUUCUCCCUCCUAUCGUUUCGUAUAUAUAUAUAUAUAUAUCGUUUGGAUUAAAUUUCACGAGUAAUCUUUUCUUUUAAAGAAAAAUUAUCAUUCGUGCCAUCUAUUCAAAUGUGUCAGGCAAUUCAAUUUUUUUUUUGACGUUAAUCUCGCAUUCACUUGUGGUGCAACGUUAUAUAUUGCUCUCGAUUUCAUUUUCAAAUAACAAAUGGUUCAAUUUUUGAAGUGUGAUUGGAAGCUCGAAUGUGUAUUUUAUUGUGCGCGAGGGAAAUAGUAAAAUCGAUAAUUUUUAAAGGGUCGAAAAAUAAUUGAAAAAAAAAAAAAACGGAGACACGUUUAAAAGAAAAAUCACGAGAUGGAUGUACGUUCAAUCUUUACCUUUCGUACUCUAAGGCGCCAGAUAAUGAAAGACCAAUCGAUUGUACUUUCAUCCAUUGUGAUUUUUUUUUAAACGAAAUCGUUGAUCGUUAGGUGCUACCAAUUUCGAUGGUAUUGUUAGAUCGAAAAAUACAUUUCGAAUCGUACUAUGAUGUCCACGAAGUAUAAUGAAAGAUACGUAGAUAUUUCUAAUAAAUUUUUAUAAAUUCGAAUAAUUUAUUAGAAUAUUCUUACGCGAUUUUCAAGCAAGUAUUAAUAUCCCCGAUUUGACUUCAAUUUCUCGUUGCGGGUAUCGCAGAGAGGUCGUUGUCAUUUCGAGUAUGAAUGCUAGCAAAAUAUUCGUGGAAAAUUAGUAAGAUGAGAAGCAUAAUAUUUUCCAUCUAACAAUGCCUUUGGAAUUUAGAAUGCAAGUAUCUUGAGUAUAUAGAUAUGAGAUGAAAAAAUUGAGAAUGAGUGAAAUUUCGUAUCAUUUUUUAAUUUAUACGAUAUUACAUUCCAUCAGACGUAUAUAACAAAUAGUACAUCUCGCUUAUCCUCGAUAUAAGACGAGAUAUAAUUUUUCAAUCCAAUUUUCAAGUAUUUACAAAUGGAAGAUAGUCGCUUGUGUUUCCGUUGUUAUGGUUGCUCGAAUUUAUCUAAGAGGCGAAUUUCUCUCUACGUUCAUAAAUACGGACUGUACACACGAUUCGAAUGGACGAGACGAAACGAAGUAGACGAGAGGCUGUCAACAUUCAUAGGUAUAUAUACGUGUAAUCGUUGUUCCUCCAAUAAUGUUUGCUGCGCAGCGAUCAUUAUUGUAAGAUCAAACGUGUACAUCGUAUCGUUUUUUAUCGUAAUGGGAAUCUUAAUUUUGACGAACCGCACCACGACAUAUCUUCUCCAGCGAUGCUUCUCGACGAGACACCAACGAACGUCUAGGCAGACGAGAGAGAUAUUGGUAUAUACGGAGAGAAAGAGUGAGCGAAAGGGAGAGAGUACGAAUGAACGUGUGUACGAUUGCGGUGAGGGACCCGACGGUGUUUCAGAAUCGAUUUUUGGCUAUUGUUGCUCGCGAUGCGGUCGACGUUAUGCCGUCCAAUAUUCUUUGGACAGGCAUCAGAAGUAUGAGUGUGUGGAGUAGAAAAGCAGUUCUGCAUUAACUUGCUGUCGUCGUUUCACUCGGCUGGACACGUCAGAGGGCACAUCAGAAGCGGACCGGUCACCACUUGGCGCCUUGUUCCAGAGGAAGGUUUUCCAGAUCGAAUCAACAUGUCUCCAUCGCAAUUUUCCCGUCACUCUCGAGGAGAGACCAAGUAAAGGAGAAAAUUAUUCCAUAAUAAUACGUUUCCCCUUUUCGUUGUUCUCUUACUUAUAUAUUAUCCCUCCAUUGUGGCAUAACACCGUUCCACCAUGAAAAGUCGGAGAGAGUCGACGUAUCACGACGCAAAACAUGUCCUGUUAUAAUAAUAAUAAUUGAGCAAGUAGAGUUCUGUAAAUUAUUUUACUUGUUCGAGUUUUUGUAGUUUGUCGAAUUCAUAAAUAUACAAUGCGUACCUUUCGUAAAAAGAUUAGAAGUAUUUCGUAAGGCUUGAUCGAUUUGCUUUUUCUAGAGUUACUUGAUUUUUCAAUGUUGCGAAAACUUACCGUUUUUUUUUUGUGAUUGUGUCAAGUUGUUUGCGCGAGUCUUUAAAUGUGUAUAUUAUACGAUCAAGCCUUAAAAAGUUAAAAAUAGUUCUCUUAGUUCGUGACACGUUAAUUUUCAAAAACGGAUAGGAUUUGGUCUUCUGACUGGUAAUAUUGCGUCGUUGCGAUUCGUGCGAGUAAUAUCGAUUAAUAAUAAUUAAUAUCUCGAAUUAUUAACUAGCUUCGAUUAGAAGUAAUAAUUUGAAAAAAAAAUUUUAUUGUUAGUAAUAUAUAUAUAUAUGAGACAAGAAAACGGAAAAUAUUUAUUGUAAAAAAUUUUCAAAAUUUAAAAUUGUCUAAUUGUUAAUUGGAAAAUCAAAAUCGGGUUCUUUUUCUCGUAAAUAAUUGUACAAGUAAUUCUAUAAGAGAAUUGCAGUAAGACAUUGUUCCAAUAAAUAAUAUUUGUUGAAAAUAUUAAGAUAAAACUAUUCGUACUGCGAUAAAUACAUUUCAUCUAUCUCAGAUGGAAGAAGAAUGUUUGU
rnacentral:lncRNA from 1 species